rnacentral:tRNA from 2 species
CACUAAGAAGCUAAACAGGAUACAAGCGUUAGCCUUUUAAGCUAAAAAAUGGUGCCUUCCAACCACCCUUAGUGA